UCCCGCUUCUGGCGGGCAGUUGCGUAUGACAUGUAAAACAUACGCCGAGGGUUGCGCUCGUUGCGGGACUUAACCCAACAUCUCACGACACGAGCUGACGACAGCCAUGCAGCACCUGUAACUCCUCCCUUGCGGGUCGCUUCCCUUUCGGGUCGCUACCAGAGCUAUGUCAAACCUAGGUAAGGUUCUUCGCGUCGCAUCGAAUUAAACCACACGCUCCGCUGCUUGUGCGGGUCCCCGUCAAUUCCUUUGAGUUUUAGCCUUGCGGCCGUACUCCCCAGGCGGUAUGCUUAUCGCGUUAGCUGAGGCGCGCACGGUUUUACCCGCACACACCGAGCAUACAUCGUUUACGGCGUGGACUAC
rnacentral:misc_RNA from 1 species